UUGCUACCAGCUGAAGGUGUCCAGGUUCUGGGUGUCUUGAACAAAGAAUUGGAUGAAAUGCACAAACAAAGCAAGGAAGGAAUGAAGGGAUUUAU